GACGAACGCUGGCGGCGUGCUUAACACAUGCAAGUCGAACGAUGAAGCUGGAGCUUGCUCCGGUGGAUUAGUGGCGAACGGGUGCGUAACACGUGAGCAAUCUGCCCUUGACUCUGGGAUAACUGCGGGAAACUGUAGCUAAUACCGGAUACUUUCACUGGAAGGCAUCGUCUGGUGAAGAAAGAAUUUCGGUUAAGUAUGAGCUCGCGGCCUAUCAGUUUGUUGGUGAGGUAACGGCUCACUAAGGCGACGACGGGUGGCCGGCCUGAGAGGGGGACCGGCCAAACUGGGGCUGCGACACGUACCAGACUCCUACGGGAGGCAGCAGUGGGGAAUAUUGCACAAUGGGCGCAAGCCUGUUGCAGCAACGCCGCGUUGGGAAUGAAGGCCUUCGUGUUGUAAACCUCUUAGCAGGGAAGAGGCUAAAGUGACGGUACCUGCAGAAAAAGCACCGGCUAACUACGUGCCAGCCGCCGCCGUAA
rnacentral:rRNA from 1 species